rnacentral:rRNA from 1 species
CGUAACAGGUCUCCGUAGGUGAACCUGCGGNNNGAUCAUUACAAGAACGCCCGGGCUUCGGCCUGGUUAUUCAUAACCCUUUGUUGUCCGACUCUGUUGCCUCCGGGGCAACCCUGCCUUCGGGCGGGGGCUCCGGGUGGACACUUCAAACUCUUGCGUAACUUUGCAGUCUGAGUAAACUUAAUUAAUAAAUUAAAACUUUUAACAACGGAUCUCUUGGUUCUGGCAUCGAUGAAGAACGCAGCGAAAUGCGAUAAGUAAUGUGAAUUGCAGAAUUCAGUGAAUCAUCGAAUCUUUGAACGCACAUUGCGCCCCCUGGUAUUCCGGGGGGCAUGCCUGUUCGAGCGUCAUUUCACCACUCAAGCCUCGCUUGGUAUUGGGCAACGCGGUCCGCCGCGUGCCUCAAAUCGUCCGGCUGGGUCUUCUGUCCCCUAAGCGUUGUGGAAACUAUUCGCUAAAGGGUGUUCGGGAGGCUACGCCGUAAAACAACCCCAUUUCUAAGGUUGACCUCGGAUCAGGUAGGGAUACCCGCUGAACUUAAGCAUAUCA